GACAGAGGGUGCAAACGUUGUUCGGAAUUACUGGGCGUAAAGCGUGUGUAGGCGGUCCUCUAAGUCGGGUGUGAAAGCCCAGGGCUCAACCCUGGAAGUGCACUCGAAACUGGAAGGCUAGAGUACCGGAGAGGUUGGUGGAAUUCUCGGUGUAGAGGUGAAAUUCGUAGAGUAUCGAGAGGAACACCGGUGGCGGAAAGGCGGCCAACUGGACGAGUACUGACGCUGAGACACGAAAGCGUGGGGAGCAAACAGG
rnacentral:rRNA from 1 species